rnacentral:rRNA from 1 species
UACGUAGGGGGCAAGCGUUGUCCGGAAUCAUUGGGCGUAAAGAGCGUGUAGGCGGCCCGAUAAGUCCGCUGUGAAAGUCCAGGGCUCAACCCUGGAAUGCCGGUGGAUACUGUCGGGCUCGAAUCCGGAAGAGGUGAGUGGAAUUCCUGGUGUAGCGGUGAAAUGCGCAGAUAUCAGGAGGAACACCAAUGGCGAAGGCGGCUCACUGGACCGGAACUGACGCUGAGGCGCGAAGACGUGGGGAGCAAACGGG